rnacentral:hammerhead_ribozyme from 1 species
GCACUGCUGAGGAGUCCCACAAUAGGACGAAACGGCCGGUCAGUGC